rnacentral:rRNA from 1 species
CUACGGGGCGCAGCAGUGGGGAAUCUUAGACAAUGGGCGCAAGCCUGAUCUAGCCAUGCCGCGUGAGUGACGAAGGCCUUAGGGUCGUAAAGCUCUUUCGCUGGAGAAGAUAAUGACGGUAUCCAGUAAAGAAACCCCGGCUAACUCCGUGCCAGCAGCCGCGGUAAUACGGAGGGGGUUAGCGUUGUUCGGAAUUACUGGGCGUAAAGCGCGCGUAGGCGGACCAGAAAGUUGGGGGUGAAAUCCCGGGGCUCAACCUCGGAACUGCCUCCAAAACUCCUGGUCUUGAGUUCGAGAGAGGUGAGUGGAAUUCCGAGUGUAGAGGUGAAAUUCGUAGAUAUUCGGAGGAACACCAGUGGCGAAGGCGGCUCACUGGCUCGAUACUGACGCUGAGGUGCGAAAGCGUGGGGAGCAAACAGGAUUAGAUACCCUUGUAGUC